AAACUUUCAACAAUGGAUCUCUCGGUUCCCGCAUCGAUGAAGAACGCAGCGAAAUGCGAUAACUAAUGUGAAUUGCAGAAUUCCGUGAAUCAUCGAGUCUUUGAACGCACAUUGCGCCCCCUGGUAUUCCGGGGGGCAUGCCUGUCCGAGCGUCAUUGCACCCCUCAAGCACAGCU
rnacentral:rRNA from 1 species